rnacentral:rRNA from 1 species
GACGAACGCUGGCGGCGUGCUUAACACAUGCAAGUCGAACGGUAAGGCCCUUCGGGGUACACGAGUGGCGAACGGGUGAGUAACACGUGGGUGAUCUGCCCUGCACUUCGGGAUAAGCCUGGGAAACUGGGUCAAAUACCGGAUAGGACCCUGGGAUGCAUGUCCUGGGGUGGAAAGCUUUUGCGGGGUGGGAUGGGCCCGCGGCCUAUCAGCGUGUUGGUGGGGUGGUGGCCUACCAAGGCGACGGCGGGUAGCCCGCCUGGGAGGGUGACCGGCCACACUGGGACUGAGAUACGGCCCAGGCGCGUACGGGAGGCAGCAGUGGGGAAUAUUGCACAAUGGGGGCAAGCCUGAUGCAGGGACGGCGCGUGAGGGAUGACGGCCUUCGGGUUGUAAACCUCUUUCAGCACCGACGAAGCGCAAGUGACGGUAGGUGCAGAAGAAGGACCGGCCAACUACGUGCCAGCCGCCGCAGUAA